GUGAUGUUCCCAUUCAUGGCACAAGGCCAUAUAAUCCCUUUCCUAGAGUUAGCCCUUCAGCUGGAAAAAACAAACAAAUACACCAUAACUCUUGUUAACACCCCUUUAAACCUUAAGAAACUCAAAUCAUCUCUCCCUCAAAAUUCCUCUAUUCACCUUCUUGAAAUUCCUUUCAAUAGCGUAGCGCAUGACCUCCCUCCUUGUACUGAAAACACAGACUCUAUUCCAUAUCACCUCUUUCCAAAAUUCCUUCAAGCAACAGUAUCGCUCGAACCCCACUUCAAGAAACUAAUCUCUGAACUUGUCAAUGAACAAAAUGGCCAAAAACCACUUUGUAUCAUCACUGAUAUGUUCCUUGGUUGGUGUAAAGAGACAGCACAUGAGUAUGGUAUUUUUCAUGCUAUAUUCAUAGGAGGUGGUGGCUUCGGCUUUGCUUGUUUCUACUCUUUGUGGGUAAACUUGCCUCAUCGGAAAACGGAUGCCGAUGAAUUUCUGUUGCCGGAUUUUCCAGAAGCUUCAACACUUCAUGUAACACAGAUAUCUCCUUACUUACGAGCUACCGAUGGAAGUGAUUCUUUUUCAGUGUUUUAUAAGAAGUUGCUUCUUCUAUGGAAGGAUGCAGAUGGAAUUUUGGUUAACACGGUUGAGGAACUUGACAAGAUUGGACUGAUGUAUUUCAAGAGAAAAUUUGGCCGGCCGGUUUGGCCAAUAGGGCCUGUUCUUUUGUCCACAGAAAAUAGAGGUGGGGUCGGAAAAGAGUACGGAAUCUCUGCAGAGUUGUGUAGAAAAUGGCUUGAUACAAAGCCGUACAGUUCGGUUCUGUAUGUAUCAUUUGGUUCUCAAAAUACAAUAGCUGCAUCACAAAUGGUGCAAUUGGCAAUGGCUUUAGAGGCUAGUGGCAAGAAUUUCAUUUGGGUCGUUAGGCCUCCGACUGGUUUUGACAUAAAUUAUGAGUUUAAAGCCAACGAGUGGCUGCCUCGAGGUUUUGAAGAAAGAAUCAAAGGUUUAGGACAAGGACUGGUGGUACACAAAUGGGCGCCUCAGGUGGAGAUUUUAUCUCAUACGUCAAUAUCUGCAUUUUUGAGCCACUGCGGAUGGAACUCUGUGCAUGAAGCUUUGAGUCAUGGGGUGCCGAUAAUUGGGUGGCCAUUGACAGGAGACCAGUUUUAUAAUUCUAAGCUGUUGGAAGAAGAGAUUGGGGUUUGUGUGGAGGUUGCGAGAGGGAUGAAUUGUGAGGUGUUGAAAGAGGACUUGAGUGCAAAAAUUGAGUUGGUGAUGAAUGAGACUGAGAAAGGAGUGGACAUGAGAAACAAAGCUAACGAUGUGAAGGUGAUUAUUAAGAAUGCUGUGAGAAACGAAAAAAAUUUUAAGGGGUCUUCUGUGAAAGCCAUGGAUCAAUUCUUGAAUGCUGCAUUGAUAAUGAGAGAGAUGGAAAAGGGAGCGUCAAAGAAUGAGGUCUGAUUUGCGUGGAAGAAAGUCUCUGUUGCCAUUUCUGUCAAUGAAAAUUAAUGUAAUCUUUUAACGAGACAGUUCUGGGAAAUAUCUUGCAGUAACGUUAUCUUUGUAUUAACUUUCAAUCAAUCGCGUAAAAUUUAAUUUAAUAAAAAUUAAUCCCAUAACUGAAAGAGCCACCUCUGUUUUUGUGGCUACAUCCCGUUCCGAGUGGGAUCCAGAAUUUAAAGAGCAUAAUUCAUUGUUCAUUGUUACUAAUGUUCUCACUAAAUAAAAAUAGGAUUGGGCCAGAAAACCAAAGCCCACAAUCUAAAUCAAGCCCAACCUAAACCAAAUCAUCUGGGCUGGUUUGGUAAGAGAAACUCAAUCCAAUUUAACUUGAGGUAGCGAUGGCGUUGAUGAUUUUUGUUAAUAAUUCACUUUUUAUUAAUUUUUUUGUUUUAGACAUUAGGUCUCUUUGAGCUUUGACUAUCUUUAACUGACAAAAACUGUUUUACUACACACCAAAAACUGUUAAAAUCAGGGACGGAAGCAGCAUGAUGCUACUAAGAUCAGCUGUUUCAACUUAAUUAAGAAAAAAAAAGUAUUCAGCUUUCUAUUUUACGCUUAACUCUUACCCUAUAUUCUUUAUUAAUGAGCCCUCUUGUUUUCAUUAUUCAACCCACUUAUCUUUUAAAAUUAUUUGAAUAACUCAAUAACUUGAAGUGAAAAGCCUAACAUCCGUAAUCCCAGUAUGUGGCGAAAGAAAUUUUGGAUAGUAUUGAUAAUAAAACUAUUGGAAAACGUUAUCAACUCAUAAAAAUACGCCAUCGGCAAUUAUAAAUGAUGCUAAUAGAAUACAUUUAUUAUGAACGAAAGAUAUAACUUUGGUAGUUAGUAUUAUUUUUUAUUUUUUAAAAUUGCCCUGAUAGGGUAAAUUUCUAGCUUCAACCCUUGUUAAAGUAACUCAUGUUAUUUCAAUGAAUACCAAAGACAAAUAUUAUAACUAACUAUGAAAUAUAAAAGGAAAUACCAAAUCCGGAGAGUUUAAAUGAGCAUCAGCCCCCAACAAAAUUUAAGAAACCUCAAAUACGAAACCGUAAAUGUACACACCUAAAUCGUACACCUGAACUGUUAGAUGUUACUAUAGCCUUUAAAUCAAUGGUCCUCAAUUUUUUUUAAUUCUAUUCAACUGGCUCUGAAUUCUGAUGGCAACAAAAAACUUAAGCUUUCAUAAGCAACUACGAACAAUGCUGAUUUUUAAUUUUUGAACAAUGAUAGCGUGUCUGAAUUAUAUAUGAUAUCACCCACUCUCCUUCUUCUCCAAUGACACAAAGGAAAGAGAACGUGAUAAUGUUCCCAUUCUUGGCAUAGGCCAUAUAAUCCCAUUCCCAGCAUUAGCCCUUCACUUAGAAAGCACAAAUAAAUACACCAUAACUUUUGUUAGCACCCACUUAAAAUGAAGAAACUCAAAUAUUUUCUCUCCCUCAAUGCUCUUCCGUUCACUUUCUUUGAAAUUCCCUUCAAUAGCAUAGAUCACGAUCUCCCUCCUUGUACUGAAGACACGGCUUCUCUUCCAUUUCAUGUCGUUGGAAAACUCCUUGAAGCUACUUUAUCCUUUAAACCCCAUUUCAGGAAACUCAUCGUUGAUCUUAUUGAUGAACAAAUGGCCACAAACCGCUUUGUAUCAUCACAUAUAUGUUCUUUGGUUGGUGUUGAGACAAAAGGUUUGAAUGGUUGAAAUAUAUAUUGUAUUAUUGCUUGUUCUAGCUUUAUACAAGUGAUUAGAUAUUGUACAAGGAAAGAUGAGAAACUAAAGCCUAAGAUAGGGGGAAUUACAAUGGAGAAUGUCAAUAACAGUUCCUAAACUUUAGUAUUGACAUUUAAUUUCUCUUGAUUGAUGGAUGAGAUUGAUUCUUGCCUAUUAUGCCCCCGUAAGAUGGCGUUUCCAUUGGAAACACCAAUCUUGGAUCGAAGGUGAGUGAAACGAGGCUUGGCAAGUGGUUUAGUAAGCACAUCUGCAAGCUGAUUAUGAGCAGAGACAUGAGCUAUUUGAAGUGAACCAUUAGAGACUUUUUCCCGUACGAAAUGAAAAUCCAGAGCAAGAUGUUUCAUUCUUGAGUGAAAAACUGGAUUGACGCAUAAGUAUGUAGCACCAAUGUUAUCACAAAAAAGGCGAGGUGGCUUGGGGAGAGAGACGUGUAACUCUUGAAGAAGAUUGGUUAGCCAAGUAAUUUCAGCAGCAGCUGAUGCAACUGAGCGAUAUUCAGCCUCUGUUGAGGAGCGAGCUACUGUCUGUUGCUUCUUAGAACACCAAGACACUGGGUUGCCACCAAGAAAAAUAACAAAGGCUGAUAUAGAGGUACAAUCAUCACGAUUUCCAGCCCAAUCAGCAUCCGAGAAGGCUGUCAAAGACAAUGGCUGUGAGCGACGUAUAAAGAGACCAUAAGUGAGAGUGUGCUUCAAGUAUCGAAGUAAACGUUUUGCGGCUGUCCAAUGCGUUUGACUGGGAGAAUGCAUAUAUUGCGCCAAUUUGUUUAUUGCAUAGGCCAUAUCUGGUCGUGUAAGCGAGAAGUAUUGCAUGCCGCCAAUAAGACUAUGGUAUUGAGAAGCAUCAACUUUUGGCGAGCCAUCAUUGAGCAUGAGGCGUGUAGCACAACUAAGAGGAGUCACAAAAUCUUUGAUACCCUCCAUUUUGAAUUUGGCUAAAAGAUCACGAAUAUAUUUCUAUUGCGAGAGGAAUAUCCCGUGAGUUGUAGGAAUCACCUCCACACCAAGGAAAUAAUGAAGAUGACCAAGAUCCUUAAUGGAAAAUCGCUUGGAGAGAAAGUCAAUAACUUGAUGAAUGAAGCUUGAAGAAUUUCCUGUAAUCAACAAGUCAUCCACAUAAACUAAAAAAUAGAUUAGUAUAGACUUGUUAGUGUAUAUAAAUAAUGAAGAGUCAGAGCAAGAAUUCACAAAGCCCAGAGAUAAAAUAAAAUUCUUAAGCUUAGUGAACCAAGCUCUAGGCGCUUGCUUCAAGCCAUAAAGAGACUUGUGCAAGCGACAAACAUGAUGUGGCUGAGAGUGAACUUUGAAGCCAGGGGGCUGUGACAUAUAAACAUUUUCAGCAAUAUGCCCAUGAAGGAAUGCGUUGUUGACAUCUAAUUGAUUCACAUUCUAUUCUUGGGAUCUGGCAAUAGAGAGAACAACUCGAAUUGUGGUUGGUUUUACAACAGGACUGAACGUCUCUUUGUAAUCCAGACCGGGUCGUUGAUGGAAACCUUUGGCAACAAGACGUGCUUUAUACCGAGCAAUGCUACCAUCAGGAUUUCUUUUUAUUCGAAAGACCCAUUUGCAUCCGAUAACAUUUUGAUGAGCUGCAGGAGGCACCAAUUCCCAUGUGCCAUUUUUUUCUAAGGCAUCAAGCUCUUCGCACAUAGUAUCUCUCCACUCUUUGUGUUUGAGGGCUUCAGUGGUGGUAGUGAGUUCAAGUGAUGGAGGGAUUGAACGCUUAGUAGCAGUAAGGGAAAAAAAAAUUUUGGGUUUAAAAAUGUUAUUUUUUGAUCGGGUUUGUAUAGUUGUAGGAGGAGCUGGCACUGGAACAUGAACAAGUUCAUUAAUAGGGUGUAUCUCACUAGAAGAGGAGCCUGAAAACGUUGGUUGAUUGGUAUCCGAUAUGGGAAGAUCAACCACAUGUUGAAGAUCAAAAUCUUGCAUGGAGUCAUAAUCGGCAUGAGAAUUGGUCAUUAAAGGGAUAACGGACCGAGAAUAAGAGGAUUUUGAUGUGGGCUGACUUGGCCCAUGAGAAAGUGCAUGGUUUGAGGAGUUACCAUUAUUGGUGGAGAAAUAACUGGAUGUUGAUGAAGGCAACGAUUUGGUGGGAGAUCCUUGUGUUCUUUUGUCAAUAGGUGUAUCGCAUUUGGAAGAAGAAUAAGUAGAUUUAUGGGAUGUGGAUUUGGGUUCAGGAUUUGUGGAGAUUUUUUAAGGAGGUGGUGGAAUUAAAUUGGAAGGAGAUGCAACGGGUGAAAGAGUAGUUAAUGGAGAGAGAUUUUUUGGUGACAAAGGAGGUAUGUUUGAAGAAGACUGAUCUGAAAAAGGAAGGUCUUGUUGGAGAGAUUUAAGGGAGGGAGAUGUGGCUGACCAUUUUUGUAAAGUGUAAGAAUUAAUUAUGUCACAUUCAUUUGACAUAGAGAAGGAAUGAAACACACUUUCAACAAAUUGGACGUGACGAGAAAAAUAAAAUUUGUGAUCUUGUGGAUCAAAACAGAUGUAAGAAUUAUGGACAUUAGAGUAACCAAGGAAUAGACAUGAUUUGGAACGUUAUUCAAGCUUAUGUUUUGUAUAAGGACGCAACCAUGGAUAACAUAAGCACCCAAAAGUUCGGAGUUUAGAAUAAUUAGGCUUAUGAUGGAAAAGAGACUCAAAUGGAGAUUUAUCCUUAAGAAUAGGUGUAGGAAGUCUAUUAAUGAGAUAUAUUGCAGUUUUAAAGGCAAAUGGCCAAAGUGACAAAGGUAAGGAUGCCUUGUGAAGAAGAGUUAAACCCGUUUCUACGACAUGUCUAUGACGACGUUCGGCGGAAGCAAUAUGUUGAGGAGUGUAUGGUGGAGAUAUAAGAUGCUGGAUUCCAUAUUUUUCAAAUAAGGAUUUUAGGCCAUAAUAUUCUUUUCCUCCAUCAGAAUAAAUAGUGCGAAUGGUGGAAUUGAAAUAAUUUUCUACCAUUGUUUUGAAUUUGGGGAAUAUUGUAAAGGCUUCAGAUUUGUAGGAUAAUGGAAAUAACCAUGAGUAUUUUGUAAAAUGAUCAACAAAGAUGAUGUAGUAAGAAUAACCAUCUAUUGAACGAAUUGGAGAAGGUCCCUAUACAUCAGUAUAGAUGAGAUCUAAUGGACAACGACUUUGUAAAGUUGAAGUAUCAAAUGGUAACUUAUGACUUUUAUUGCAUUGACAGGAAUCACAAAAUAGUGAUGGAGAUGAAUUAGGAACCACAGGAAGAUCAUUUUGGGAGACCACAUGACGAAGUGUUUUGGUGGAUGGGUGACCAAGUCGAUUAUGCCAAUUCUCAAGAGAGACUUUGACUCCCAUGCAAGCUUGCUUCAUUGUUGUAGAUACUCCCAUAUUGGACCAUUCAUAAACAUUAUUCUUGCUCCGCCCUCGAGCGAGAUGUGCUCCCGUGGAGAGAUCCUUCACAUAAAAGAAAGAUGGAAAAAAUUCAAUUGAAGUAUUAUUAUUUUUACAAAAUUGAGAGACAGAGACUAAAUUUUGUUUCAUAGAAGGAACACAUAGCACAUUAGAAAGAGUGAAUGAGUUUGAGGGAGUGGAGAGAGUGGAGUGGCCAACAUGAGUAAUAUGCAAACCUGUACCAUCACGUAUAACAAUGUCAUCAGGACCUUCAUAAGGUUGACUGAUUGAUAAAUUAUUGAGAUUAGAUGUGACAUGGUGAGAUGCUCCUGUAUCUAAAAGCCAAUUAGGUGAGGAAUUAUUGAUGGUGGUGGGAUUGGCGGUAGGGGCUGAAGAGUGGGAGAACAACUUUUUAGCAGAAUUACAUUGUCGAGCAGUAUGACCCCGUUUCUCACAAAAUUGACAAACCACAUUGAAAUUUUUACCUGAGUGAUGGUUGCUUGAAUUGUAAUUAUUAAAGUUGUCCCUGAUUGGUGCCCGAAUUAGGAGGAUGUUGGCCUUGAUUUCCAUGAUUAUUAUGGAAAAUUUUUUUGUUGGCUUGGUUUCCAUUUUUUGUGGGAAAACGAGCAGCAUUAGCUGUCAUAUUGCCAAGAUUUCCACUGGAGCGAAGGUCUUCACGUUUGAGGAAAGCCUCAUAUUCAACAAGUUUGUCAUGUAGUUCAUCAAAACUAAUCACAGUAUCUCGUGCCCGUACUGCCGCUGCAAGUUCUUUGAAUUCAGUUCCCACACCAUUAAGAGUAUGGGUAAUAAGAUAUUGAUUUGGAAUUGGGGCUCCAAUUAAAGCUAAUUCAUCAGCAAUGUCACCAAUUGUGGCAAGAUAGUCAGCGACAGGUUGGGAGCCUCUGUUAAUGAGAGUAAGUUUCUCAGCCAAUCCCAUAGUUCUGGAGGAUAAAGGAUUGGCAUAAAGUUUGGCAAGGCGAUUCCAGGCUUCAGCAAAUGUUUUGCAUGAACGAAUUACGGGUACAACUUUGUGGCUAAGUGAGCCGAUGAUGCCGAGAAGAAGAAGCUUGUCUUGUGGCAUCCAAAGGGUGAAAUCUGGGUUUGGAACUAUCUUUUCAUCAACUGUUGUCUCUGGAGAUGGGCAAGGUUUGGUGCCAUCAAUGUAGCCGAGCAAAUCAUAUCCAUAGAGAAGUGCAUCAAAUUGCGUCUUCCACGAAUAGUAGUUUGUUGGUGUUAAUUUUAGAGGGAGUUGGGUGGCUGCAUUUAUAGCAAUGAGAUUGUUGGGAUGCAUGUUUGUAAAAGUUUGGUUAAGGCUAGAGGUAGCUGAGUUUUCAUUGGCCAUGGUGAAGGCUGAUGCUGGAAGGAAAAGAAAAUUAAAAAAAAGGAAACAGGCCAAGGCCAAGGAUCAAUGACUCGUGUGAGCUUAAAAAAGCUCCGAUACCAUGUUGAGACAAAAGGUUUGAAUACUUGAAAGAUAUAUUGUAUUAUUGCAUGUUCUAGCUUUAUACAAGUGAUUAGAUAUUGUACAAGGAAAUAUGAGAAACUAAAGCCUAAGAUUAGGGGGAAUUACAAUGGAGAAUGUCAAUAACAGUUCCUAAACUUUAGUAUUGACAUUUAAUUUCUCUUGAUUGAUGGGUGAGAUUGAUUCUUGCCUAUUAGUUGGUGCAAAGAGAUAGCACAAGAGUACGGUAUUUUUCAUGCUAUAUUUAUAGCAGGUGGUGGCUUUGGCUUCGCAUGUUAUGAGUAAACUUGCCUAUUGGAACACAGAUUCCGAUGAAUUUUUGUUGCUGGAUUUUCCCGAAGCUUCAACAAUUCAUGUGAACCAGCUGGCGUAUUAUUUGAGAGUUGCUGAUGGAGGUGAUUCUAUUUUAACGGUUCUAUAGAAAGUGCUUCCUGAAUGGACUAAUGCUGAUGGAUUUUUGGUUAACACAAUAGAGGAACUUGACAAGAUUGGACUAAUUUAUUUCAAGAGAAAAUUUUGCCGACCAAAUGGGCAAAAUGGGCACCUCAGGUGGAAAUUUUAUCUCAUAAGUCAAUAUCUGCAUUUUUGAGUCAUUGCGGAUGGAACUCGAUCUGCGCUCGAAGCUUUGUGUCACUAGGUGCCGAAAAUUGGGUGGCCAUUGGCAGCAGAGCAGUCUUAUAAUUCUAAGUUGCUUGGAGAAGAGGUUGGGGUUUGUGUGGAGGUUGCAAGAGGAUGAAUUGUGCGGUUUGAAAGAGCACAUAGUGGUAAAAAUGGAACUGGUAAUGAAUAAGACUGAGAAAGGAGAAGCAGUGAGAAUGAAUGCUUUAAAAGUUAAGGAGAUUACUGACAAUGCUUUUAGAAAUGAUGAAAAUUUUAAGGGGUCUUCUGUGAAAGCCAUGGAUGGAUUCUUGAGUGCAGCAUUGAUAAUGAGGGAGAUGAAAUAGAAAUGAUCAAAUAGUGACGUUUGCUGGAUGUAUGUUGAGUGCUUUUUGCUUUCUUUUGGCAUUUUUAUAUCUUUUAAUGAGACAUAGUUUUGGGGAAAAAUCACGAGUAAUCGUUGUUGUUGUUUUUUUAAUUUUUGUUUUGUUUUUGGCUGCGUGUUGUGUGUCUUUUAGUAAAUCAUGAAAAUAUUCUCACACAUUAUAAAAAAAAAGUGAACAAAAAUGAAGCAAUGCUUCUGACGCAUGCUGAUUUUAUGGUUGCUUUUAGACACUUUUUAAGAUUUGCUUUGCUAUUUUGGUACAAAAUAGAAAUUUAUCAACACUUUAAUCUAACAACAGAGGUCCAUAUAUAUUAAUGGAGUCACCUCUGUUUUUUCCCGUAUUAGCCUGUGUAUUUGUGGACAAUGCUAUACACACACACACACACACACACACAUGCACCCUUUGCUUCAAAAUUUGGCACUAAAUUUUGGUGACUUAUAUUUAUUAAGAAUUUUUUUUAUUACAUAAGACUAUUGCUCAAAUUAAAACUCAUAUUACAUGAGACUAUAACUUAUAUUUACAAAUUAGACUAUUACCAACUUAACCCAACUUAACCUAACUUAACCCUUACUAAUAUUCGAGGGAUGUCUACUCCACUCACUCUGGGACCAACUUACAUCAAUGUUAAUGGAGUUUUGCCCAGAUUUGAUGUCUACUCCACUCACUCUUGGGUAAGAGAGAAGACUGCCUUUACUUAAUUAUACAAUAUAAUUAAUGAAGUUUUGCCCAGAUUUGAUGUUUACUCCACUCACUUUUGGGUAAGAGAGAAGACUACAUUCACUCAAUUAUAUAAUAUAAUUAAGGAGGGAAAUACCCCCACAUUGCACUUGUAGGGGUUCGAAUUACUGCCCUCAUUGCACUUGGAGGGCAGCAGCCCUAACCACUCGGCUUUGGCCGAGUGGCUAUAUUUAUCAAGAAUUUAAAUUACUUAUGAGCGGUGAUAUUUGACCCCUUCAAUUUCUCUUACCAAAUCUCAUUUUUUUAAUUAAUGUUUAUUUUUUAUUUUUUGAAUUACCCUUAUUGAAAAAUAAAUAUAUAAUUAAAACAAAAGCAAAAAAGUCCUAACAAAAUCCACAGUAGCCACCGAUCAAAUGCCCCUCAUUUACUUAGAAUCAAAUUCAUCAUGCUCUAAUUUUCUAAAUCUGCAUACACAAAAAAAUGGAUAUAAAGAUGCAAAUUAGUACUGAAAUUUUAGAAUAUCAAACUCCAAUAUACAAGACAAUAUGAUUUUUUUGUGGGGUACUACAAUUAACUAAUUAGUUAGUUAAGUAGAAAUCAAUGUAGUUAUCUUGGAAACAACGUGGCUUUUGCUUACGGGAUAGACAACAACAAGCUUCAACGACUUUAAAUCAUCGUGAAAAUCACAAGGUUUACUUGUAGGCAUAUUCUUAUUGGCUUUACAUUUACAUGCAGUGAUGAAAGAAUUAGGUGUUUUGGCCGGCAGUCGGGGAAUUUAUUGAUAAUGUCAACUGGCAACGACGAGUUAGCUUAUGGUGGCUUGAGAUGGUGACUAUGAUUGUGGAACGUGGCUAGACUUUAUGGAAUUAGCUUUUGCUUUAUUUUCCAAUGAUAGCGAGAUUGGCCUCACUGGCCAAACUGACAAGCCUAGGUUUCUCUUGAAGCACAUGAAUCCAAUCUGAUCAAACUCUUCAAUGGUAUUACACAAAAUCCCAUUAGAAUUCACCCACACAGGAAAAUUUUCACCUUGAAAUUGUUAGAAGAUGUGUUUAGGACUGUUGAUGUGGAGUCAUAAAAGUUGCUUCUGUUGAAUAUUUCAAACUUUUCCUAUUUUUCUGGUGUUGGUUAUUUAUUUUUGCUGUGAUCGUGGCACUAUCUUUGGACCAUGAUUCUAGUGGGUUGUUAUUUGCUUUUGGUGUGUUAUUUAAGAUUUAAAGUGUAAUGUUUUCAGUUAAUGAAUUGAGUGAAGUUCUCUUGACAAUUUACGUGGCUCUCAUUUCCAUUUGUAAACUUUGUUUCUUUUCUUAUUCAAGUAACAACAUCUGGUAUCAGAGCUAUCUUUUUAAGGGAUCUGUGUUUGAAUUUGUCAAGUCAUGGAAGCUGAAGCCAGUUUCUCCGCAAUUGCUCCGACAGUGUUUGACGGAAACAACUACCAGCUUUGGGCAGUACGUAUGGAGACAUACUUGGAAGCUUUGGAUCUUUGAGAAGCAAUGGAAGAAGACUAUGAAAUUUCUACACUUCCAAACAAUCCCAUCAUGGCACAGAUAAAAGCGCAUAAAGAAAAGAAAACAAAGAAAUCAAGGGCAAAGGCCUGUUUGUUUGCUGCAGUCUCAUCCACCAUCUUCACUCGCAUAAUGUCUUUGAAGUCAGCAAAAGCGAUAUGGGAUUAUCUCAAGAGCGAAUAUGAAGGAGAUGAAAGAAUUAAAGGUAUGCAAGCCCUGAACUUGAUCAGUGAGUUUGAACUUCAAAGAAUGAAGGACUCUGAGACGAUCAAAGAUUACUCCGACAGACUUCUUAGUAUUGCAAACAAGGUGAGGCUUCUUAGAUCUGAAUUUACUGACUCAAGAAUUGUACAAAAAAUUCUUGUUACAGUACCUGAAAGAUAUGAAGCAACUAUCACUACCGUUGAAAAUACCAAGGAUUUGUCAAAGAUUUCCUUGGCAGAAUUGCUUAACGCAUUACAAGCACCAUAACAAAGAAGACUGAUGAGGGGGGAUACAACAACUGGAGGAGCUUUAGCAGCCAAACAUCAGAACAUGACCAAAAACAAAACAAAAAAGAAGGACUUUGAAAGAAAUUGGGCAAGUACAGCAUCUACGAAUGCAAAAGAAAAGAAUGAAAAUCAGAAGAAAUCAUAUCCACCUUGCAAACAUUGCAGAAAGAAGGGUCAUCCUCCGUUUAAAUGCUGGAGAAGACCUGAUGCUAAGUGCACUAAAUGUAAUCAGAUGGGGCAUGAAGCAGUUAUCUGUAAAAAUGAAAAUCAACAUGGUGAAGAGGCAAAGACGGCUGGUCAAGAGGAAGAAGAUCACUUGUUCGUCACUACAUGUUUCUCUGGCAUCGAAUCAAGUGAGAGUUGGCUUAUUGAUAGUGGUUGUACUAACCACAUGACACAUAAUAAGGAUCUAUUCAGGGAACUAAGCAACGCAAACUCGUCAAAGGUUCGAGUUGGAAAUGGCACGUACAUAGCUGUGAAAGGAAAAGGAACAGUUGCAAUCACAACCUUUUCAGGUACAAAGUUCAUUUUUGAUGUGUUGUAUGUCCCUGAAAUUGAUCAAAACUUGUUAAGUGUUGCACAAUUAAUUGAAAAGGGUAAUAAAGUUGUGUUCGAAGACAAAGUUUGCUUGAUUAAAGAUGCAGAUGGAAAAGAUAUUUUCAGAGUAAAAAUGAAAGGGAAAAGCUUUAUUCUAAAUCCAUUGGAGGAGGAGAAAAAUGCUUUCCCAAUCAAAGAAAAUAUCACUGAGUUAUGGCACAAGAGGCUCGGGCAUUAUCAUCAUCAGGGGCUGCUGCAGAUGAAAUCCAAGGGGAUGGCAAAUGACCUUCCAGAACUUGAUGACUAUAUUCCAAAUUGCAAAGCAUGUCAGUUUGGAAAGCAAAGUAGGAGACCAUUUCCCAAGGCAACAUGGAGAGCAACAAAGAAACUGCAAUUAGUUCAUACUGAUAUUGCAGGCCCACAAAGAACGCUUUCUUUGAAUGGUAGUCUUUAUUAUGUUGUAUUCAUUGAUGAUUUCACCCGUAUGUGUUGGAUCUUUUUUUUGAAGCACAAGUUAGAAGUGGCUCAAGUUUUUUGGAACUUUAAAGCCAGAGUUGAGAACGAGAGUGGCUGUAGAAUUCAGGCUCUUAGAUCAGACAAUGGCAAGGAGUAUACCUCUGAAGCAUUCAAUCAUUUUUGUGAUGAGGCUGGCAUCCAACAUCAAUUAACCACUCCAUACACUCCACAACAAAAUGGAGUGAGUGAGAGACGGAAUAGAUUUAUAUUGGAGAUGACACGAUGUAUGCUACAUGAGAAGAACUUGCCAAAGCAAAUUUGGGCUGAAGCUGCAAGCACUGCUGUUUUUUUGCAAAACAGGCUUCCCACAAGAGCAGUGAGAGAUAAAACACCCUUUGAGGCUUGGUAUGGUUGUAAACCAUCUCUGAAAUUCCUUAGAAUAUUUGGAUGUCUGUGCUUCACUCAUGUUCCGUAGAUUAGUAGAGACAAACUAGAUAAAAGAGCACUUUCAGGCAUCUUUAUUGGCUAUAGCUCCGUUGCAAAAGCUUAUAAAGUUUUCCAGCCACAAACUGGAAAAAUUAUUAUAAACAGGGAUGUGCACUUUAUGGAAGAUGAAGAGUGGAAUUGGGAUGAUGCAAAGAAGAUGGAUUCAACUUCAAAAAAGCCAAAACUCAAGUUUCCUAUUAUGGACACAGCAGAUCAAAGCAUUGAAGAUUGGGAAAAUGAAAUGGUGGAUGACAGACCUAUCAAGAGCACAAGACCACUUUCAGAUGUUUACCAAAGAUGCAAUGUUGUUGUGUGUGAACCUACAAAUUAUGAAGAACCCAAGACGGAUCAGAAUUCAGUUACGGCAAUGAAUGAGGAGCUAUUCAUGAUUGAAAAGAAUAAAACAUGGGAGUUGGUUGAUCGACCCCAAAACAGGAAGGUAAUUGGAGUCAAGUGGGUGUACGAAACCAAGCUUAAUGCUGAUGGCUUAAUCAACAAAUAUAAAGCUAGGCUCGCGGUCAAAGGAUUUGCUCAAGUACAUAGCGUGGAUUACUUAAAUACCUUCGCACCAAUCGCUAGACUCGACAUCAUCAGGCUAUUACUAGCUGUUGCAGCACAAAAAAAAUUGGAGGGUGUACCAGUUAGAUGUCAAGUCAGCAUUCUUGAAUGGUUUCCUGCAUGAGGAGAUUUACAUAGAGCAACCAGAAGGCUAUGUAAAUGAAGGAGAAGAAGACAAAGUGUAUCUUCUUAAAAAAGCUCUUUACGGCUUGCAGCAAGCUCCAAGAGCUUAGUACAGCAGGAUUGAUGAAUACUUGCGAAACUUGGGAUUUGUUAGAAGCUUAUCUAAAUCAACAUUAUAUGUCAAGCACAAUGGUGCUGACAUUCUUAUCAUCUCAUUAUAUGUGGAUGACCUGCUCGUGACAGGAAAUAAAAAGUGUGUUGUGGAGGAGUUUAAGCAAGAAAUGAUAGAGAUUUUUUAGAUGACAGAUCUUGGAUUAAUGACGUUCUUUCUUGGAAUGGAAAUUAAACAAAAUGAAAAUGAAGUCUUCAUCUGUCAGAAGAAAUAUGCAAGGGAAAUUCUGAAAAAGUUUAAACUUGAAGAAUGCAAAGAAAUGAGCACUCCAAUGAACUCAAAGGAGAAUCUCUGUAAAGAAGAUGGAACAGAGAAGGUUGAUCAGGCAUAUUUCAGAAGCUUAAUUAGUUGCUUGAUGUAUCUCACAGCAACUCGACCUGACAUUUUGAAUGCUGUAAGCAUUUUGUCUCGGUUUAUGCACUGUGCUAGCGAAUGGCAUCUCAAAGCUGCAAAGAGGGUGCUUAGAUAUGUGAAGGGCACAUAUAAUUUUGGCAUUAAAUUUACAAGGAGCAAAGAGUUCAAAUUGUUUGGUUACUCAGAUAGCGAUUGGAGAGGUUCCAUUGAUGAUAUGAAAAGCACUUCGGGCUACUGUUUCACACUUGGUUCUGGUGUUUUCUCUUGGAGCUCGAAAAAACAAGAAAUUGUAGCUCAAUCCACUGCUGAAGCAGAAUUUGUUGCUGCAACGGCUGCUGUCAAUCAAGCUUUGUGGCUGAGGAAGAUUUUAAUUGAUCUUAACCUGGAGCAUGAGGAAAGUACAGAGAUUCUAGUUGACAACCAAGCUGCUAUUGCAAUCUCUCAAAAUCCUGUGUUUCACGGGAAAACUAACCACUUUAAUAUUAAAUUAUUCUUCUUAAGAGAAGUGCAGAAAAAUGGAGUUGUUAGUCUUGUCUACUGCAAAACAGAAGAUCAGGUUGCAGAUGUUUUUACCAAGCCACUGCCGAUUAGCAAGUUUGAGUUUUUCAGAACAAAACUUGGUGUUUGUAGCUCCUAAAGCAAGGAGGAGUGUUAGAAGAUGUGUUUAGGACUGCUGAUGUGGAGUCAUAGAAGUUGCUUUUGUUGAAUGUUUCAAACUUUUCCUAUUUUUCUGGUGUUGGUUAUUUAUUCUUGCUGUGAUUGUGGCACAAUCUUUGGACGAUGAUUCUAGUGGGUUGUUAUUUGCUUUUGGUGUGUUAUUUAAGCUUUAAAGUGUAAUGUUUUCAGUUAAUGAAUUGAGUGAAGUUCUCUUGACAAUUUACGUGGCUCUCAUUUCCAUUUGUAAACUUUGUUUCUUUUCUUAUUCAAGUAACAACAAAAACAAAGACCAAGAAUCUGUCCCAUCAGCCUCUAACAUAUUCAAAGCCAAUUGGGAUUUAUGAAUCCUUGAAGCCUCUUCAAAAUCUGGUAACACAAACUCAUCUGAAGUAACUUUCUUGUGAGGAAGAUUUGUCCAAAAGGAAUAGUAACAAGCCAAGCCAUAGCUACUAGCACCACUAAAAAAUGCAUGAAACAAAUUAAACUCCUUGGCAACACCACAAGUCCACCCAAAGAAAAUAUCAGCAAUGAUGCAAAGUGGAGGCUGGCCUUGAUUCUUUCUUGUGAGACUAGAAAUCACUUCUUUAAAAGCAGGUUUCAAAGAAGUUGAAGCUCUAAAGAGAUGAAUGACAAGAUUGUAAGGAAGGACAUCGCAAUUCUCAGAAUUUGGAGGAAGGCCAUGAGAUGAGCUAUUGAAAGGAAUUUCAUGCAAGUUAAUGGAGGAAUUUGGAGGGAGAGAUGAUUUUAGUUUCUUGAUGUUUAAAGGAGUGCUGACAAAGGUUAUGUUGUAAUUUUUGUGUCUUUGUUCUAUGUGAAGGGCCAAGGCUAGAAAGGGAAUGAUAUGGCCUUGUGCCAUGAAUGGAAACAUUACAAUAUUUUCGUUGCUUUGCGCCAUUGUUGAAUGAUGAUGAUGAUGAUGCUGAAGAGAAGUUUGGAGAAGGAGAAUUGAGUUGAAUAAUUUGAAUGAGGUUUUUAGGUUAUUAUAAGGUUGAAAUUUCCAUAUCUUCCGUAAUGACACAUGUGUCCUUGAGUAAUUACAUUUUCACAAAUAAGGAAAGGGUUUUCUUAUGUGUAUAUAUAAAAUAUGUCCCCGAACUCACUGCAUACAUAGAGUACCCUUUAUUGCUUUGUUACCAACUUUUGUAUUGUGAUUGCCAAAGACUAAAAAAUUCAGUGGAUGUAAUUGAUCAUUUUAAUAGGGACUACCGGACCAGGACCUGUACUACAUAAAUGAAAAUUUUAUAUCAUUUUGUGAAAUAAUUAAAGAUUAGUGAUUUAGAUAUUUUAUUACUGAGUUCCAAAUUUUGUAGGACCUGAAUUUGAAAAAGGAGCAACAAAUGCUGAUUUUCAGGCUAGCGUCAUAGUGGACCAGGACCUGUACUACAUAAAUGAAAAUUUUAUAUCAUUUUGUGAAAUAAUUAAAGAUUAGUGAUUUAGAUAUUUUAUUACUGAGUUCCAAAUUUUGUAGGACCUGAAUUUGAAAAAGGAGCAACAAAUGCUGAUUUUCAGGCUAGCGUCAUGGUGGACCAGGACCUGUACUACAUAAAUGAAAAUUUUAUAUCAUUUUGUGAAAUAAUUAAAGAUUAGUGAUUUAGAUAUUUUACUACUGAGUUCCAAAUUUUGUAGGACCUGAAUUUGAAAAAGGAGCAACAAAUGCUGAUUUUCAGGCUAGCGUCAUGGUGGGGGAAUAAAGAGUGGUUCAAUGUGAAGUUUACUGGUCAACAUGCGGUCACUGACAUUAGAACAAUAUUUUGACCCACUAUGGAAAUGAGGCCAACUCUAGGGCGUGUUUGAUAUAACUUUUGUAAAACUUUGGAAAAAUUAUCGCUUUAAUUUGGAAAAUAAAAAUAGAUAGUUAAAAAUUUUGAAGAUAAUACUUUCCUUUUACAUAAUGUUUAUUAGGCUCAACGAUGUGGCGAUCGCAUUUUCAUAGCCUAAUUUAAGAUACUCAUAAAAGCUAUCACCUCAAGGAUACAUUUUGUUUUUUGAAAUAUUAUCAAUUUAAAAGCAAUUGCCUCAUCAAUUUAUAUCGUGCUGAAAAGACCUCUUAAACCACAACCACCAUAAGACAUACGCUGUGAAUAGAAUGCUGAAUUCUGACUUGAAGAGCUCACUUUUAUCUUCAUGUUUGCCUGUCUAACGUUAUAAGGUGCCGAUUGCCUUUUUGUUGAGAUUUUUUCUUUCGAAAAAAUCUAAGGUGCUUCAGGUGCAUUAUUAUGUUUCUGUUUACUUCUUGUUAUGCAUAUAUUUCGAUCAGUUAUAUAAACAUUCGUAUAAAUGUUACAAAUGAUGAAAGAGGAGGGAGAAAUAUUUUUAGAGAGUACUUUAAACUCAUAUUUUUAUAUUAAUAAUAAACUUCAUAGGCAUUCUUUGUUUUUUUUUUAAAUUUUUUUUAAGAUGCGGUGAAUCAAAAUAUAAAUUUUAACCCUCAAAUCUUUUUCAGAAAUUAAACUUGAGUGAUUAACCAAAUAAAGAUGUUAAAAGUCACUCAGCUAACUCAUGAGACUCUCAUUGAAGUCAUUUGUUGAUGAAGAGUAGUCAAUUUUUAAGCUAACAUGUGAUGAUGAUUGUAAUCUUGAUUUUAGGUUAAGGAAUAAAAUAUGCAAUUUAUGUGUUGAGUUUUUUGGAGUAAACUUACUGUAACUCAUGCGGAGUCUACGAAAUUGGUAACAUAAAAGAGAUAAAGAUAUGUCGUGUCCAUUUAGACAAAACAUAAUUGGUCGAGAGUGUGGACGAGAGGUUUUCAAUCAAUUUUAUUUAACUGGCCAUCCAAAUCUAAAUCUUAAAAAAAUAAGAGACUAAAAAUUGAUUUAAACUUUAUUCAACCCUUAUCAUUUAAAAAUAAUAAUAAAAUAAAUUAUUUUCAUCUCUUCGUGACGACGAUGUUCAGGGACGUGUCCAUGACCAAGUGGCAGACCCAAUUCGUGUUUGGACACUUUAAGUAUCCUUUCUUCGCGAAGCAAGAAAAGUCGUAGGCUUUUUUUUUUUUUUUUGGUCUUAUCCACGAGGUAUCCUGGGGAGGGCCCCAACUGUGGGAGGCACCUUUAAGCCCGUACCAUAACCCAGACUAGAAGUCCCCGCUCGAACCGGGAGGCACAGGUUCUCCCAACAAAUGCGACUUCCCUGCGACUCGAACUGGGGAGCAAACCCAGUCAAGUCACUUAAGGGGACUCCAUUGCCAGUGGAGCCAACACUUUGUUGGUAAGUCGUAGGCUUUUUAAGUGAGCCAUAGAAACACCCACGUCCGGAAAAUUUAAUGAGCAUCUGCCCCUCGAACCCACACCUGUAUUAGUGUAUCGUUGGAUGUUAAUACAGCCGUAUAUUUUUUACUUAAUAGAAGAUGUAUAUUGACAUCAGUUAAAUCGUUUGUUGCGCAGUCCCAUCAUUUUUUUUAAUACUUCGUACCAACUAAUUUCUUGAGAGGAUAUUAAGAGUCCAUAAUUGGACCUCAAAUUGGCCAUACAUCCUGGUACAAUUUAGACCAAACUUGAUAAUUAUUAGAGAAUGGAAUGUAAUCUUUAAACAUACCAUUAAUGAGUCCCCAUAACAUACGUCAAACCUGAUGAUUAUUUUAUCAAUCCUCCUCCUUCUGUGCCUUCUUCAUCAUCAACGCAGCAUCCAAGAAUUGUUCCAUGGCUUUUACAGAAGACCCCUUAAACUUUUCUUCAUUUCUAACAGCAUUCUUAAAAAUCAUCGAAACCUCAGAAGCUUUCUUUCUCAAGUCCAUUCCUUUCUCAGUCUCAUUCAUCACCAACUCAAACUUUGCAGUAAGUUCUCUGUCGAAACCUCACAAUUCAUCCCUCUAGAAACCUCCACACAAACCCCAAUCACUUCUUCAAGCAACUUAGAAUCAUAAAACUGCUCUGCUGCCAACGGCCACCCAAUUAUCGGCACCCCAUGACUCAAAGCUUCAAGCACUGAGUUCCAUCCGCAAUGACUCAAAAAUGCAGAUAUUGACUUGUGAGACAAAAUCUCCACUUGAGGUGCCCAUUUUUGGACCACUAGCCCUUGUCCUGAAUCUUUGAUUCUUUCUUCAAAUCCUUCAGGCAGCCACUCAUUGGCUCUAAAUUCAGAGUUCAUGUCAAAACCAAGUGGUGGCUUGACUACCCAAAUGAAGUUCUUGCCACAAGCCUCUAAAGUCAUUGCCAAUUGCAUCAUUUGUGAUGCAGCUAUUGUGUUUUGUGAACCAAAUGACACAUAAAUCACUGAAUUGCAUGGCUUGGUAUCAAGCCAAUUUUUACACAACUCUGUGGAGAUUCCGUACUCUUUUCCUGCCCCAGCCCUGCUCCCGGUUGACAAAAGCAGGGGCCCAACUGGCCAGACCGGUCGGCCGAGCUUUCUACUGAAAUACAUUAGACCAAUCUUGUCAACCUCCUCUAUUGUGUUAAACAAGAUUCCAUCGGCAUUCAUCCACUGAGGAAGCACUUUCUGAAAAAAUACUGAAAGUGAAUCACUACCAUCAGCAAGUCUUAAAAACUUUGUCAUCUGAGUUACAUGAAUUCUUGAAGCUUCAGGAAAAUCCGGCAAUAGAAAUUCAUCGGAAUCCCGAUGGGGUAGGUUUAGCCACAAAGAGUAGAAACAAGCAAAGCCAAAACUGCCACCUCCUACAAAUAGAGUAUUAAAAAUACCACAUUCUUGUGCUAUCUCUGCACUCCAUGCAAAGAACAUAUCUGCAAUGAUGCAAACCGGUUUAUGGCCAUUUUGUUCAUCAAAAAGACCAUUGAUGAGUUUCCUGAAAUGGGGUUUAAAUGAUAAAGUGGAUUCAAAGAAAUUUGGAAAGAGAUGAAAAGGAAGAGAAUCAGUGUUUUCAGUACAAGGAGGGAGGUCAUGAGCUAUGCCAUCGAAGGGAAUUUCACGGAGGUGAAUGGAGGAGUUUUGAGGGAGAGACGAUUUGAGUUUCUUGAGGUUUGAAGGGGUGUUAACAAAAGUUAUAGUGUAUCUGUUUGUAUUCUCCAGGUGAAGGGCUAAUGCAAGAAAUGGGAUUAUAUGGCCUUGUGCCAUGAGCGGGAACAUCACUAUGUUCUCUUUUCUUUGUGCCAUUCUUGUUAAUAGGAAAAAACAGAGGUAAGUACAGGAUGAUGUAAAGAAGAUGUGUGGGGGUGUGCGAUACACAUACACGCGACUUUUAUAACAGUUGGAAGAAUUUAGCGUACGUUAAGAAUUAACCUUAAGCUAUUACUAUUGGUUGAAACAUGUGCAUUUAAUAAAGAGAAAAUUAAAAAGAAAAUUAAUAAUAAUAAUAAUGCUGCAGACAGGAACGCUAAAAAAUUUUCCUAAGCGACGUAUUAAAAAUUUGACCGCAUUACUCCAGCCAUCGACCCCAACCAAUCCAAAGUUAGUGUGAGGAGAAUUCAAACUUUUAAUCGCUUUGAAUUCAAUAAAAUAAUCUCUUUGUUUCUUGUUCUUUGAAUUCAAUAAAAUCAACUGAGUCGUCAGACAUUUUCUCCAAAUUGUUUAUUCAACUGAGUCCUCUUGACCUCUUCGAUAAUGAUGGUAUACAAAUUGAUUUGCUGAACUCGGUUUGUUUUAUCUUUCUAUUUCUAUUCUCAUGUCAGCUAACAAACAGGGAUGGUGCUGCUGAUUUCAUUAAAGGGCCAACUGCAGGACACCUCACUCGCACUAUUUUCCAACCCACUUACUCACACUUUUUCAGAAGAGAUAAGAUGGAAUACAAAAGGUCCAGUCUUUUCGAACUUACCAUGUAGGAAAUUGCAUGGAAAUGAUUAAAUUGUUCAAUAAUACUUCAUAGACCUCUUAACUUUCCUCCAGAAAAAUUUAAGAAUCAUACCCCACUCCCCUUCUCUACCACUUAAUCCUCCACUUUUUCUCCUUCUGAUCCUCAUCAACAACAAUGGCACAGAGGAAAGAAACCAUAGUUUUGUUUCCAUUCAUGGCACAAGGCCAUAUAAUCCCUUUCCUGGCAUUAGCCCUUCACUUAGAGAAAACAAAUAAAUACACCAUAACUUUUGUUAACACCCCUUUGAACCUCAGGAAACUCAAAUCUUCUCUCCCUCAAAACUCCUCCAUUAACCUUCUUGAAAUUCCCUUCGAUAGCAUAGAUCAUAAUCUGCCUCCUUGUACUGAGAACACAGAUUCUGUUCCGUAUCAUCUAGUUUCCAAACUCAUUGAAGCUACUUUAUCGUUUAAGCCCCUUUUCAAGAAACUCGUCAAUGAUCUUAUUGAUGAACAAAAUGGCUAUAAACCACUUUGUAUCAUCACAGAUAUGUUCUUUGGUUGGUGCAAAGAGAUAGCACAAGAAUAUGGUAUUUUUCAUGCGAUAUUUAUAGGAGGUGGUGGAUUUGGCUUUGCUUGUUACUACUCUCUGUGGGUAAACUUGCCUCAUCGGAACACGGAUUCUGAUGAAUUUGUAUUGCCGGAUUUUCCUGAAGCUUCUACAAUUCAUGCAACUCAGCUGGCAGAUUAUCUAAGAGUUGCGGAUGGAAGUGAUUCUUUUUCAGCGAUUCUACAGAAAGUGCUUCCUCAGUGGAUGAAUGCCGAUGGAAUUUUGGUUAACACAGUUGAGGAACUUGACAAGAUUGGACUGAUGUAUUUCAAGAGAAAAUUUGGCCGGCCGGUUUGGCCAAUAGGACCUGUUCUUUUGUCCACAGAAAACAGAGGUGGGGCUGGAAAAGAGUACGGAAUCUCCACAGAGUUGUGUAAAAAAUGGCUCGAUACCAAGCGGUACAGUUCAGUUCUGUAUGUAUCAUUUGGUUCACAAAACACAAUAGCCACAUCACAAAUGAUGCAAUUGGCAAUGGCUUUAGAGGCUAGUGGCAAGAAUUUCAUUUGGGUUGUUAGGCCUCCGAUUGGCUUUGACAUAAAUUCUGAGUUUAAAGCCAACGAGUGGCUGCCUCGAGGAUUCGAAGAAAGAAUCAAAUGUUCAGGACAAGGGCUAGUGGUACACAAAUGGGCACCUCAGGUGGAGAUUUUAUCUCAUAGGUCUGUAUCUGUAUUUUUGAGUCACUGCGGAUGGAACUCUGUGCUUGAAGCUUUAAGUCAUGGGGUGCCGAUAAUAGGGUGGCCAUUGGCAGCAGAGCAGUUUUACAAUUCUAAGCUGUUGGAAGAAGAGAUUGGGGUUUGUGUGGAGGUAGCUAGAGGGAAGAGCAGUGAGGUUCUGAAAAAAGACAUAGCGGCAAAAAUUGAGUUGUUGAUGAAUGAGACUGAGAAAGGAACAGACUUGAGAAACAAAGCUAAUGAGGUCAAGGUGAUUAUUAAGAAUGCUGUGAGAAAUGAAACAAAUUUUAAGGGGUCUUCUGUGAAAGCCAUGGAUCAAUUCUUGAAUGCUGCAUUGAUAAUGAGACAGAUGGAAAAGGGAGCAUCAAAGGAUGAGGUUUGAUUUUGCGUGGAAGGAAGUCUCCAUUGCCAUUUCUGUCAAUGAAAAAUAAUGUCAUCUUUUAACGAGACAGUUUUUGGAAAAUUCUUGAAGUAAUGUUAUCUUUGUAUUAACUUUCGAUCAAUGAUAUGAAAUUUAAUUUUAUAUAAAUUAAUCCCAUACCAAAGAGCCACCUCUGUUUUUUGUGACUACAUCUAUCGAGAGUUUGAAUUCAAAGCUUGUUAUUUCCGAGUGGGAUCAAGAAUUUAUAGAGCAUAAUUCCUUAGUUUGUUUUUUUUUUUUUUUUUUGGAUAGAGCAUAAUUCCUUAGUAUUUAAUGUUUUCAAUAAAUGAAAGUAAGAUAGGGCCGGAAAAACAUCACCCACGAUCCACAUCAAGCCCAACCCAGACCAUAUCAUUUGAGCUGGUUUGAUAAAGGGAAACUCAAUUAUUGAAUCUAAAAGGAAAAAAAAAAUUGAACUAACUGUACUUUUUUUUAAUGGUAUGUUAAAACAUUAAUAGCAAGAAUAAACAUAACUUUUCAUAUGAAUUUUUGGUUCAAUCGCAUGUCGUAAAUUUCAAAAUUUGGGACGUCAUAAAUUUCAAAGUUUGAGAAAUAAAAAAGUUACGAGAUUUUUCUAAAUAUGUGCAUUGAGAUCUCCUUCUUAUCAUUCCUUAAUUACAUAUUUUUUAUUGUUGAAUUAUAUUGUGUUUUGUGUUCACUUAAAAUAGGAUUCAACUUUAUACCAUUGAACCAAUCAUGUUAAAAUGUUGGAUGAAAUUGAAUUAAAAUUAUUCAUAGCAUUAGAUGGAGAUUGAGAUUUUAUAAACAAAUGUUGGAUGGUGAUUGGAGAAAAGAGAUAUUGCAAAUGGCGACGCUGAUCGGAGAAAACAAAAAUACCCUAAAGUAUAUAAACGCUUGGUUUCGCAAUGAUAUAUAUUGUCUGAUUUAUUGAAAUUUGUUUUAAAGUAUACUCUAAUUUACUGGAUUGCUUGAAAAAAUAAAGUGUAAUGUUAAUCGCAUCUCGUAGAUUUGUAUGCAAAGUAAAUUUUAAUAUAAUAUUUUAAAUUAAUUAAAAUAACAGUAUUUUUCCAUUACAAUAAUAAAUCGUCUUUAAUUAUUUAUGAAGACAAAAUUUGGGCUAUUUUCAUAUUGAAAGCACUCUUUGUCUGCAGGGGAGACUCUCCAUUACUGACAAGAGUGAUAAGCAUUUAGUCUUUAGACUGAGACCAUCUAAAACUGGACUCAACAAUUCUGCAUCGUAUGUAUAUUCCCAAAAGAUUUUUAAAAUUAGUUUUAAAAACGUGAAAGCUUUGGUUGCCCAAUUAAUGCACCCACCUCUGCGUUUCCCCUACGUAUUAGCCUGCGUAAUUUUUAAAUUUUCGGUGAUUAUGGUUCUGAUUGAGAUUACGUUGUUGUAACUUUUGAGUUAUAACUACUGUGAAAAAAAGUAUAAUUAUGAAAUAAAAAUAAAUAAUAUAUAAUAAAUAUAAUUUUUAAAUAAUAAUCUUAUCAAAAUUAUUAAAGAUAUAUUAAUUCAUCACGUAAAUAUAAAAUUAAAUCAAAUUAUCUUUCAAGUUAUAGUAGUUAGUAUUUAUUAAAUAUUUUAAUUUUUUAAUUUUUAAAUUACAGUUGUUUAAUCUCAAUUCCAAACAGAGCCUAUAUCUAUUUAAAACUUGUUCAGAUUGCUAACUAGUUAUGCUUUAUUUAACACAGUAGAAUUCGGUAAUUCACUUAUUAUUAAUUUUUUGUUUUAGUCUCUAGACCAUCUUUCACCGAUAAAAACUGUUUUAUUAGAUACCAAAACUGUUAAAAUCAAGGACGGAAGCAGCAUGGUGCUACUAGGAUCAGCUGUCCCUACUUAAGUACUUAGCUUUCUAUUUUAUGCUCAAGUCUCACCCUGCAAUCUUUAUUGGUGUGCCCUCUUGAUUUCAAUGUUCAACCCAUUUAUCUUUUAAAAUUAUUUGAACAGACUCAGUAACUUGAAAUUAAAAGCCUAAUAGCCUUAAUUCCAGUAUGUUGCGAAAAAAAUUUCAAAUAGUAUUGAUAAUAAAACUAUUGAGCAGCAUUAUCAAUUCAUGAAAAUAAGUCAUCAACAAUUUAUGAGUGAAAGAUAUAACUUUAUAUUUAUUAUUAUUUUUAAAAAAAAAACUACCCCCUAUAGAGUAAAUUUCUAGCUUCAUCCAUCGUUAAAGUAACUCAUGUUAUUUCAAUGAACGCCAAAGACACAUAGGUAUAACUAAUUAUUUUAAAUUUUUUUUAUUAAAACUUAGCAGUUUGAGGAAUUUUUAUUAAAUAUGAAAUAAGAAAUGAAAUACCAAAUCCGGAGGAUUUAAUUACAUUAUUUUUUUCCCAAUUGGAAAUAUGUUGGAAAGAAAUACCUUUAAAAUCUGCCAUUAAAAUAAGAAAUAUGUUUAUUAAUAUAAUUUAAAAAAUAAUGUAAUUAACUUGACUAAUAAAUGUUUGUUUUGGUUGGUCAUUUAACCAUAAAGUGGCAACAUGCAAGCAACAGAGUUGAUGACUUUCUGUGCAGUUUGGAGCCCAUUCUAGACACAAAAAAUAUAGAACAAACUUCAUUGCUUUCUACUUCUAUGAAGGGGAAUAAAAAAAUGAGGAUGAUUUGAUGUCAAAAAUCAAAAUGAUCCAAGCAAUGCCGCAAUACGGUGCCGCCAAACAAACCUUUCAUUGUUUUACUCUUAAAAAACAGAAAACAACAAUUUGGAAACAGUACCAAGCAGCCUACUAAAAAGUUAGUGAAUUAUGAUUUAGGAUUGGGGUUUUGUUUGAUGUUGAAUGAAUUAUAUGAUAACAAUGAUGAUAAAGUCAAAAACAGUUUUGUAUAAUUUAAUAUGUAAUAAUUAAUGUGACACGAAAAAAGUAACUAAAAAGUAAUGAUAGUUUUUUUUUUAAUUAUGUGAGACCAUAAUAAUUUUAUAUAAUCAAUCAUCAAAAUUAACAAUAUAUGUCAAGGCUCUAGCAGAAUUAUCAAAAUGCUCAGUUUUUUUUAAAUUUAAUUUUCAGUUUUUAAAUUUAGAAAGUCGAAAGUUGUCUUUCAAAAGAAUUAAAAUUACCAAAAUGACCCCACUCCCCUUCUUAACCACCUAAUCCUCCGCAAUUUCUCCUCAUCCUCUCAUCAAUAGCAAUGGCACAAAGAAAAGAAAACAUAGUGAUGUUCCCAUUCAUGGCACAAGGCCAUAUAAUCCCUUUCCUAGCAUUAGCCCUUCAGUUGGAAAAAACAAACAAAUACACCAUAACUCUGUUGGUGAAUUAUGAGAAUAUGGAGGCAAAGAACAAUGAAAUUUCUUAGGAUUUGAGACGUGUUUACACACUUUCCUUUAAGGUUUUAUUUGCCCUCACCAAUCUUGGUUUGCUAUAGAGUUUUAAUGGCAAAUUACCCCCAAGAUAUAUCAAAUCCUGAAUACAAUCUUUAGCAAAUAAGAUUGUAUUUCCAGAACAAGCAUGAAAUCUUCAAAAUCUGAUUUCUAAUCUUAUUGUAUGUCUUUCUUUUUAUGAAUAAGAUGUUUAUUUGAAAGAAUACAACCAUUAGAAAAUGGUACUUCUUCGAAAAAAACUCUUUUGGUUUUAAAAUGCAUCGAUUUACAAUUGAAAUCUUUUCAAUCUUGCUAACCGUUUUCCAAUUGACAACUUUCUGGAAAUAAACGGUUAGCUGUUUUCUCAAUAAACGGUGAGCCGUUUAUUCUAGGACAUAAAACAUGCUCUCUGGACUUAAACGGUAAGCCGUUUUCACCAUAAACGGUGAGCCGUUUAUUUCAGAACAAAAAACAUGCUCUCUGGACUUAAACGGUUAGCCGUUUUCUCAAUAAACGGCAACCCGUUUUCGUCCAGAAUAUCAAACCAAACAAACUUGAAAGAUGUUACAAUCUCUCUUACAAUCCCCACUAGAUUGUAAUAUUUUUCAGAUUUAUUAAUGAUAAACUUAUACAUACAAAAGGUAUCUUUCGAUUUUAACCUUUAAUUAGUGAGUGUAUUUCAAAGUAUUUACAAGACAAUAGUGUGCUAAGCAUUAAACUUUGUCUCUUAAGUAAAUACCGGAGAUACAUCACAUAUAAGCUAUCCCAGAUUUCAAAGUUGUGUUCCAAUAGUUAGCACUAUUCCGGCCUUGUGCUCUAUCUUGGAUUCAUGAACAUUUACAAGAUUAAACCAUGACCUUGUUAGAAACGGCACCAUUUCUUAUGUUCACUUAGGUGAAGUUUCAAAUCAUGUCUUUAGCUACUAAAAGACUUGAACUUCAUUAAGAGUAAAUACUCAACCUCAACCUCGUAGCUAUUUGCACCGAAUAUCUCGAAUGGGAUUAUUUAUUACUCACUGUCAAACCAGUCACAUAACAACAACUUGUUAUUACCCAUUUAACUAUGGAGUAGCGGUAUAACUACUACAUAGUUGGGUUACCGUCGUUGGUGACUUUAUUAUAUAAAGGUUUCAAUCCCAUUCCAUAAGAUGUAUCCUUAACUAAGUCUCUUGAAAGACCUUUUGUUAAAGGAUCUGCUAGGUUCUUAUUAGUCCUAACAUAAACAAUAUUAAUAACACCAUCUGCUAUUAAUUGUUUCACAUAUUCAUGUCUUAAGCUAAUAUGUCUAGACUUUCCAUUAUACACUUUAUUAUAAGCUCUAGACAAUGUAGCUUCACUGUCGCAGUACAAAGAAAUAGAUGGCAUCGGUUGUGGCCACAACAUUAUAUCAAACAACAAAUUUCUCAGCCAUUCUGCUUCUUUGCCUGCAGAUGCAAGUGCUAUAAACUCACUUUCCAUUGUUGAAUGAGUUAUGCACGUUUGUUUCUUUGAAGCCCAAGAAACCGCUCCUCCAGCAAUUGUAAAAAUCCAACCAGAAGUGGAUUUAUUGUCUCUUGUAUUGGUUACCCAACUAGCAUCUGAAUAUCCUUCCAGUACUUCAGGAUAAUCAUUAUAAAACAAACCCAAAUUAACGGUCCUUUUAAGAUAACCAAGUAUCCUACCAAUUGCUUUCCAGUGUUCAACACUAGGGUUACUCGUGAAUCUUGACAUUUUGCAAACUGCAAAUGCUAUAUCAGGCCUCGUACAAUGCAUAGCAUACAUCAAGCUACCAAUUGCACUAGCAUAUUCUAGUUGAGCUACUAUUCGGCCUGAAUUCUCUAGUCAUUUAAUACUAGAAUCAUAUGGGGUAUUAGCUUCUUUAAGUUUCAAAUAAUUGAAUUUAAGAAGCACUUUCUCUAUAUAAUGAGAUUGACACAACGAGUAACCCCCACUAUGUUUAUUCACUUUGAUACCUAAGAUAGUAUCUACUUCACCAAGAUCUUUCAUCUUAAAUUGUGAAGUUAAAUACUUCUUUGUAUCAUCUACUCCUUGCAUAUUUGUUCCAAAGAUAAGCAAGUCAUCAACAUACAAGCAUAUAAUCACACCAAAAUCAUUCGUAUAUUUAAAAUAUACACAUUUAUCAGCAUUAUUAUGCUUAAAACCAUGUGAUAAAAUUACCGAAUCAAACUUCUCAUGCCAUUGUUUUGGUGCUUGCUUUAAGCCAUAAAGAGAUUUGAUUAACUUGCAUACCUUUUUUUCAUUUCCAGGCAAAACAAAUCCCUCAGGUUAUUCCAUAUAGAUUUCUUCAUCAAGAUCACCAUUAAAAAAAGUUGUUUUAACAUCCAUUUGAUGCACAUAUAAAUUGUUCAAUGAAGCAAUUGCAAAUAGCACUCUUAUAGAAGUUAACCUAGCUACCGGAGCAUAUGUAUCGAAAUAGUCAAUACCAUUUCUUUGCUUAAACCCUUUGGCUACUAAUCUAGCCUUAAAAGUUUGCAAAGAACCAUCAUUAUUGUACUUUCUUCUAAAUACCCAUUUGCUGCUAAUUGGUUGAGAUCCUGGAGGAAGAUCAACCAAGACCCAUGUUUGAUUCGACAUUAUCGAAUCCAUUUCAUCAUUUACCGCCUCUCUCCAAAAAGAAGCGUCUCUAGAAGACAUAGCCUCGCUAAAUGUCUUUGGAUCUUUUUCAAUAUUUAACAACAAUGGUACUUUGUUAAGUACAUUCUUUCUAUCCCCUUCAACCAAGAAGAGUAGUGCUUGUGAUGAAAUAAAAUCCGGAGCUAAACUUUUUUCUUUCUUUCUUUUCACGUUGACUCCUCCUUAGUUCGAAAGAUGUCGUAGACUCUUUCCUUUUAUUAUUGUUAGUGGAGGUAAUAGGAGUAUUAACACAUGGUUGAUCAAUAAUUGAUUCUGAUUCAAUAUUAGAAUCAUGUUGAAAUUUAUUCUCAAUAAAUUCAACAUCUCUAGAUUCCACAAUCACAUUAGAAUCUAAAUCUAACAACCUAUAAGCCUUGGAAUUUUCAGCAUAUCCUACGAAAACACUUUUUAUACCUCUAGCACUCAACUUUGAUGACUUAGGGUCAUGUAUUUUAUAAAAGGCUAAACAACCCUAGACCCUUAAAUACAUCAAGUUUGGUUUUCUUCCUUUCCAAAUUUCAUAAGGAGAUAUAUGUGUUUUCAAAGAUGUAAUUCUGUUAUGAAUAUGACAUGCAGUGAGUAAUGCUUCCCCCCACAAAUUAUUUGGUAGUUUUGCAUUAAGGAUCAUGGAAUUUAUCAUAUCCGUGAAGAUCCUAUUCUUCUUUUCAGCCAAACCAUUUUGUUGAGGAGUAAAUGGAGCUGAUCUUUGGUGAAUAAUUCCAACUUCCUCACAAUAAUUAUUAAAUUCAAUUGAGAAAUAUUCACCACCUCUAUCACUACGAACCAUUUUGAUUUUCUUAUCUUUUUGGUUCUCAACUUCAGCUUUGAAAAUUUUAAAUUUAUCAAAAGCUUCACUUUUUGUUCUAAGUAAAUACACAUAAGUGUAUCUAGAACAAUCAUCAAUAAAAGUGAUGAAGUAUCUCUUACCUCCUCUUGUUAAAAUGCCAUUAUACUCACAAAUAUCAGUAUGUAUCAAAUCCAAUAUUUGAGUAUUUCGUUCAGCUUUAGGAAAAGGUUUCUUAGUUAUUUUAGCUUGGAUGCAGAUUUCACACUUAUGACCUUUAACAUCAUUGCAAUUAAUCAAACCAUGCUUAGACAUGUAUUUCAAAGAUCUAAAGUUUAAAUGUGCUAAUCUAGCAUGCCAAACAUCACAAGACUCAACAAUAUAAGCUAAGUUGAUAUUAUUAUUAUUAAUGCUGAGUUUGUACAUUCCAUCACAAGAAUACCCUUUCCCAACAAAUAAUCCAUUCUUUGACACAAUACAAGUAUUACCCUCAAGCACAAUCUUAAGCCCAUGCUUACACAUACAACUAGCAGAAAAAAGAUUCUUCCUAACGGAAGGUACAUGAAAGACAUUAUACAAUGUGACUUUCUUUCCAAAAGUGAAGUUGAUCUCAACUACUCCUUUCCCUGCUACUAUGGCUGCAUUAUUGUUCCCCAUGAGAACCAUUUGUCCUUCCGUUUCUUCUUUGUAUGAUAAGAAAAAUUUCUUAUCAUUACAAACAUGAAUUGUUGCACCCGAAUCGAGCCACCAAUCAUAGGACUUAGUUUCAGCCAUAUUGGUUUCAGUAAUCAUGCCAAUUUGUAUUUCAGAAACCAUAGCACAAAUCUGUUCAGAUUUGUUUUCAAUAACAUUAGCUUUAUGGGAAUUCACUUCUUCCUUUUUCUUCUUGAAUCUGCAAUCACUUUGGCGAUGGUCUUUCUUACCACAAAAGAAACAAUUUCCAGAAAACUUUUGUGUGCUGGACUUCUUGAAUUUCUUGUCAUUCUUGACUUUAAAAUUCUUUGAGAAUUUACUAGCUUCAACAACAUUAACUUUAGUAUAAUCAUGCUUAUCCUUGGAUUCACGAGACCUAGUCUCUUCUUCAAUUACCAAGUGUUUUUGCAAUUCUUCUAAAGUUAUGUUCUCUUUACUAUGAAGGAGUUUCUUUUUAUAAUCAUUCCAACUUUGAGGCAAUUUAGCAAUAAUAGCCCCAACUUGAAAUGAUUCAGAAAUUUCAACUUUUAACUCUCGAAGCUUAGCAACAAUAAUUUGUAACUCAUGUAUUUGAUCAAGAAUGGAUUUUGUGUCUACCAUAAUAAAUUCAAAAUAUUUAGAUACAAGGAAUUUGUCAGUACCUUCUUUCUCCGUUUUGUAUUUGUAUUCAAGAGCAUUCUAAAUUUCCACCGGAGAAGUCAUAGAAUUGUAGAGAUCAUAUAAUCUGUCAGAAAGCGUAUUGAGUAUGUGACCCCGGCAUAUCAAUUCAUCAUCUUCACGACGUUUCCUUGCAGCCUUAACAACUUCGGUAUCAUCUUCUCUUGGUUCUGGAAAUGGUUCCAAUUUCGGAUCAAGAACAUAUGCCACUUUAAGAACAGUAAGGAGAAAGAACAAUUUUCCCUUCCAACGAGUGAAAUUAGUUCCAUCAAAACGAUCGAGAUGGACACUAGGAUUCAGAAAUGAUGUCAAACUCUUCUCAACCUCCAUUUGCACAAAAAUAAAACCUUAAAAAUUGUUGGUGAAUUAUGAGAAUAUGGAGGCAAAGAACAAUGAAAUUUCUUAGGAUUUGAGACGUGUUUACACACUUUCCUUUAAGGUUUUAUUUGCCCUCACCAAUCUUGGUUUGCUAUAGAGUUUUAAUGGCAAAUUACCCCCAAGAUAUAUCAAAUCCUGAAUACAAUCUUUAGCAAAUAAGAUUGUAUUUCCAGAACAAGCAUGAAAUCUUCAAAAUCUGAUUUCUAAUCUUAUUGUAUGUCUUUCUUUUUAUGAAUAAGAUGUUUAUUUGAAAGAAUACAACCAUUAGAAAAUGGUACUUCUUCGAAAAAAACUCUUUUGGUUUUAAAAUGCAUCGAUUUACAAUUGAAAUCUUUUCAAUCUUGCUAACCGUUUUCCAAUUGACAACUUUCUGGAAAUAAACGGUUAGCCGUUUUCUCAAUAAACGGUGAGCCGUUUAUUCUAGGACAUAAAACAUGCUCUCUGGACUUAAACGGUAAGCCGUUUUCACCAUAAACGGUGAGCUGUUUAUUCCAGAACAAAAAACAUGCUCUCUGGACUUAAACGGUUAGUCGUUUUCUCAAUAAACGGCAACUCGUUUUCGUCUAGAAUAUCAAACCAAACAAAUUUGAAAGAUGUUACAAUCUCUCUUACAAACUCUUGUUAACACCCCUUUAAACCUCAAGAGACUCAAAUCAUCUCUCCCACAAAAUUCCUCCAUUCACCUUCUUGAAAUUCCUUUCAACAGCAUAGAGCAUGACCUCCCUCCUUGUACUGAAAACACAGACUCUAUUCCACAUCAUCUCUUUCCAAGAUU
rnacentral:lncRNA from 1 species